rnacentral:lncRNA from 1 species
UGGCUCUUGAAAACCAACCACAAGUUUCUCCCACAAGAUGGUCAGAAUUGGCCUGCUAGUAAGAAUUCAUCCCUAACUUCAUGUUUGACUCCUCUGUCACAUAUCACCACUGAUGCCUCAUGGAUGCUCUAAAUCUGGAAGCUGACACUUUGAAGCAAUUGAACAAAUGGUUGGCUAUUCUACUUCUCCCUCUGAAGGUGUGCCUGUACAGAAGGCAGACGUGCGUCUUUGAGAAGAGUUUUGGGUGUUGGCCAAAGAUUUCUGAAGACUUGACUAGAAACUCUAAGCAGAGUGCUAUGAAAAUGGAGACAAAGGAGCAGAAUGUUUGUGAAGUCCAGUGACGUUCAGUCCAGAGUGAGCUGUAAAAGAUCUACCAAGCUUCAGAAUUUAGAUCAAGUCUACA